rnacentral:lncRNA from 1 species
AAUCUUUUAAUCAGGUGGUAUUUCUUUUGGGCGCCGUUCUUGUUGGGAUUCAUUGGCUCUUAUUUUAUUUUAUUUUAUUGCUCUUUUGAGCAUGCUUUUUCCCAACCUCAAUUCUUCUAGAUAAGUGCUUCAUGAUACUUCUCAUCAUUUUUUUUCAUUUCUUUUUUUCUUUCUUUGAAGUUUCGUACUUUUCUCAUUUUUCUGCACUUAUCUGCUUUUCCUCGGUGUCCUAAAAUUUUGAUGAAAC